rnacentral:rRNA from 1 species
UGGGGAAUAUUGCACAAUGGGCGAAAGCCUGAUGCAGCGACGCCGCGUGAGGGAUGACGGCCUUCGGGUUGUAAACCUCUUUCAGCAGGGAAGAAGCGAAAGUGACGGUACCUGCAGAAGAAGCGCCGGCUAACUACGUGCCAGCAGCCGCGGUAAUACGUAGGGCGCAAGCGUUGUCCGGAAUUAUUGGGCGUAAAGAGCUCGUAGGCGGUUAGUCGCGUCUGCUGUGAAAACUCGAGGCUCAACCUCGGGCUUGCAGUGGGUACGGGCUGACUAGAGUGCGGUAGGGGUGACUGGAAUUCCUGGUGUAGCGGUGGAAUGCGCAGAUAUCAGGAGGAACACCGAUGGCGAAGGCAGGUCACUGGGCCGCAACUGACGCUGAGGAGCGAGAGCAUGGGGAGCGAACAGGAUUAGAUACCCUGGUAGUCCAUGCCGUAAAACGUUGGGCACUAGGUGUGGGGUCCAUUCCACGGAUUCCGUGCCGCAGCAAAACGCAUU